AUGCUCUUUGCGGAUGAUGUGGUGCUAGUUGACGAUAGUCGGACGGGGGUAAAUAGGAAGUUAGAGUUGUGGAGACAAACCAUGGAAUCGAAAGGGUUUAGGCUUAGUAGAACUAAAACCGAGUACAUGAUGUGCGGUUUCAGUACUACUAGCUGUGAGGAGGAGGAGGUUAGCCUUGAUGGCCAGGCGGUACCUCGGAAGGACAUCUUUCGGUAUUUGGGGUCAAUGUUGCAGGAGGAUGGGGGUAUUGAUGAAGAUGUGAACCAUCGAAUCAAAGCCGGAUGGAUGAAGUGGCGCCAAGCUUCUGGCAUUCUCUGUGACAAGAGAGUGCCACAAAAGCUAAAAGGCAAGUUCUACAGGACGGCGGUUCGACCAGCAAUGUUGUAUGGCGCGGAGCGUUGGCCGACUAAAAGGCUACAUGUUCAACAGUUAGGUGUGGCGGAGAUGCAUAUGUUGAGAUGGAUGUGUGGCCACACGAGGAAGGAUCGAGUCCGGAAUGAUGAUAUACGAGAUAGAGUUGGGGUAGCACCAAUUGAGGAGAAGCUUGUCCAACAUCGUUUGAGAUGGUUUGGGCAUAUCCAGCGCAGGCCUCCAGAAGCUCCAGUGCAUAGCGGACGGCUAAAGCGUGCGGAGAAUGUCAAGAGAGGGCGGGGUCGACCGAUUUUGACAUGGGAGGAGUCCGUUAAGAGAGACCUGAAGGAUUGGAGUAUCGACAAAGAGCUAGCUAUGGACAGGGGUGCGUGGAAGCUUGCUAUCCAUGUGCCAGAGCCAUGA
rnacentral:rRNA from 1 species